CCAUUCGAAGUGAGGAUUAGAAGGAACUGAACCGUCCACUGAAGAAAAGGAGCAAGGUUCAGUUUCCUCUAAUAUCUCAUCUCGAAUGG
rnacentral:pre_miRNA from 1 species